UCUGGGUAGUUUAAAUUAGAAUUAUAAUUUGUGGUAUUAUAAGUGGGCACGCCCCUCAGAUC
rnacentral:tRNA from 2 species